rnacentral:rRNA from 1 species
AGCAGCCGCGGUAAUUCCAGCUCCAAUAGCGUAUAUUAAAGUUGUUGCAGUUAAAAAGCUCGUAGUUGAAUUUCGGGAUCAAAGAAUCGGUCAUGCCUUGGUAUGUACUGGUUUUAUUGGUUCUCACCUUCUAAAGAACCAUGAUGUCAUUCAUUUGAUGUUAUGGGGAAUUAGGACUGUUACCUUGAAAAAAUUAGAGUGUUUAAAGCAAGCUUACGCUUGAAUACAUUAGCAUGGAAUAAUGAAAUAGGACAUCAGAUUCUAUUUUGUUGGUUUCUAGGAUCGAUGUAAUGAUUAAUAGGGAUAGUUGGGGGCAUUAGUAUUCAAUUGUCAGAGGUGAAAUUCUUGGAUUUAUUGAAGACUAACUACUGCGAAAGCAUUUGCCAAGGAUGUUUUCAUUAAUCAAGAACGAAAGUUAGGGGAUCGAAGACGAUCAGAUACCGUCGUAGUCUUAACCAUAAACUAUGCCGACUAGGGAUCGGAUGAUGUUAAUUUUUUAAUGACUCAUUCGGCACCUUACG